rnacentral:tRNA from 1 species
GCCGAGAUAGCUCAACGGUAGAGCAACUGUUUUGUAAACAGUAGGUUCCGGGUUCAAAUCCCGGUCUCGGCUCC